AGAGGGAGAGAGAGAGAGAUCAGCGCUUGAGUAAACAAAUACGUUUUAAUCCUAGACUUAAACACUGAGACUGUGUCUGAGUCCCGAACACUAAUAGGAAGACUGUUCCAUAACUGUGGGGCUCUAUAAGAGAAAGCUCUUCCCCCUGCUGUAGCCUUCACUAUUCGAGGUACCGUCAGAUAGCCUGCAUCUUUUGAUCUAAGUAGGCGUGGCGGAUCAAAUAAAACCAAAAGGUCGCUUAGAUAUUGUGGCACGAGACCAUUUAGUGCUUUAUAGAAAACCAAAAGGUCGCUUAGAUAUUGUGGCACGAGACCAUUUAGUGCUUUAUAGGUAAAUAAAAGUAUUUUAUA
ensembl:lncRNA